rnacentral:rRNA from 1 species
CGACGGCGGUGUUUGGCACCUCGAUGUCGGCUCAUCACAUCCUGGGGCUGAAGCAGGUCCCAAGGGUAUGGCUGUUCGCCAUUUAAAGUGGUACGCGAGCUGGGUUCAGAACGUCGUGAGACAGUUCGGUCCCUAUCUGCCGUGGGCGUUUGAGAUUUGAGGGAAGCUGCUCCUAGUACGAGAGGACCGGAGUGGACGAACCUCUGGUGUUCCGGUUGUCACGCCAGUGGCAUUGCCGGGUAGCUAUGUUCGGACAGGAUAACCGCUGAAAGCAUCUAAGCGGGAAGCCCCUCCCAAGAUGAGAUCUCACUGGGACUUAAAGUCCCCUGAAGGGCCGUCGGAGACUACGACGUUGAUAGGCACGGUGUGGAAGUCCAGUAAUGGGCGUAGCUAACGUGUACUAAUUGCCCGUGAGGCUUGACCAU